ACGAGGAGCUUGCUCCUCUGACGUUAGCGGCGGACGGGUGAGUAACACGUGGAUAACCUACCUAUAAGACUGGGAUAACUUCGGGAAACCGGAGCUAAUACCGGAUAAUAUAUUGAACCGCAUGGUUCAAUAGUGAAAGACGGUUUUGCUGUCACUUAUAGAUGGAUCCGCGCCGCAUUAGCUAGUUGGUAAGGUAACGGCUUACCAAGGCAACGAUGCGUAGCCGACCUGAGAGGGUGAUCGGCCACACUGGAACUGAGACACGGUCCAGACUCCUACGGGAGGCAGCAGUAGGGAAUCUUCCGCAAUGGGCGAAAGCCUGACGGAGCAACGCCGCGUGAGUGAUGAAGGUCUUCGGAUCGUAAAACUCUGUUAUUAGGGAAGAACAAAUGUGUAAGUAACUAUGCACGUCUUGACGGUACCUAAUCAGAAAGCCACGGCUAACUACGUGCCAGCAGCCGCGGUAAUACGUAGGUGGCAAGCGUUAUCCGGAAUUAUUGGGCGUAAAGCGCGCGUAGGCGGUUUUUUAAGUCUGAUGUGAAAGCCCACGGCUCAACCGUGGAGGGUCAUUGGAAACUGGAAAACUUGAGUGCAGAAGAGGAAAGUGGAAUUCCAUGUGUAGCGGUGAAAUGCGCAGAGAUAUGGGAGG
rnacentral:rRNA from 1 species